GGGGGCGAAACGGUUUCGACGGGGGAAGUUGUGGCAGGAUAAGCGAGCCGGGAUCCCACCAGCCCGUAAAACGGUGGAAACAGUUAAUAAUAACUGGCAAACAAGAAAACUACGCCCUGGCUGCUUAAAGCAGCCAGCAUCCCACCCGCACCUGCCUGUGGCGCGGGAUUCGGGGUGUCAAACUAACAGGCUUGCUUUUAAACCAAUUCUCGGAGGUUUAAGAGGACACUCAUCGAGAUAGCUCCGGCGAAGCCUGGUUGUGGGCGCCAACGGAGCGAAGCCUAAAACACAACCUACGCUCGUAGAAGGUUCUGUGGCUCUUCUUUCGGACGGUGGGUUCAACUCCCCCCGCCUCCACCA
rnacentral:tmRNA from 1 species